UACGAAGGGGGCUAGCGUUGCUCGGAAUCACUGGGCGUAAAGCGCACGUAGGCGGCUUUUUAAGUCAGGGGUGAAAUCCUGGAGCUCAACUCCAGAACUGCCUUUGAUACUGAGAAGCUUGAGUCCGGGAGAGGUGAGUGGAACUGCGAGUGUAGAGGUGAAAUUCGUAGAUAUUCGCAAGAACACCAGUGGCGAAGGCGGCUCACUGGCCCGGUACUGACGCUGAGGUGCGAAAGCGUGGGGAGCAAAGGG
rnacentral:rRNA from 1 species